GGUUGUGGUUAGAGGUUGUGGUUAGGGGUAGUGGUUGGGAGUUGUGGUUAGGGGUUGUGGUUAGUGGUUGUGGUAGUGGUUGGGAGUUGUGGUUAGAGGUUGUGGUUAGGGGUUGUGGUUAGUGGUAGUGGUU